rnacentral:tRNA from 5 species
GCGGCAAUAGUUCAGUGGUAGAACGCUUCCUUGCCAAGGAAGAGGUCGCCGGUUCGAGCCCGGUUUGCCGCUCCA